AAUUCUCCAGCUACUUCGCAGUCUCAUUUGCCAGGCAUUUUUUCUGACAAUCAUCUUCGACAUUAAGUAUGAGCCCUCCAUACUCUUGUACCAAUCUCACUUGCUUGAACCUGUGUACAGAGGUGUGUCAUUCUGAUACCUACAAGGAAGCUGCUCUCAUGGUAGGGAUGCGGAAAUACUUCAUAGCAACUCUGUUUUGCCUGUGAUUUAAACUCCUUCUGAGGCUAUUGGAGACUGUAUGGGAACUGUUGAAUCACGGCCUGAACCUCUGAUUGACCACCUGAGGAGAGCGCUGAGUCAGCCACAGGGGCACAGGUGAACGCAAUUUCACCUCAGUGACUGGAUGGGGUGGAGCCUGGCUCCAGCCCUCCUAGACCCCAUUUAAGGGCUGACUCCCAAUUAGGAAAGACAUCUAUCUGGAGAUCAUUUUUCUUGGAGCCCUUCUGCAAGCCCAGGACACAGGCAAGAGAAGAUUGGAUCCUGAGUGGGCACCAGGCACUGCUAUACUUGCAGACCAAACAUACAUCUACAACUACAUCUUGCUACCCUUCAACUGUAUUUUCUGACUUGCCACAAGGAUUGAACUAUUUUGAAAAGUCAUACUUGGCACAAGAAAGUAGGGCAGAAAUAGGCUCUUGAGAAAUACUAUUCAAAGACCAUCUCAACUCAGCCAAAUUCAUUUGUGGAGUUCAGUGAACGUCAUAUAAUAAUUAUUUGCUGAAC
rnacentral:lncRNA from 1 species